UGUCUUCAGUUGUCUUAUUUUGGUAUUCUGUUUCCUUGUGUUGUGUCUUAUUCACUUCCUGUUUUAUUUUGGUAAAUAUUUCCUGACUCAUCCUUUGUGUCUUUACUUCCUGCCCACGUGUUUUCUGUCUCACCUGUGCCUCAUUAGUUCAUUAGUCCCUGUGUAUAUAUAGUCUCGAGUACUGUGUUAGUUAUGUUGUGGUUCGUUACCUUCCUCGUGUGCAUGUGUCCCCAGUGGUUUUCCUGCGUUGCCUCCAUGGACUUUGGGUUAUGUUGGAUUUACUGCUGCUUCUUUUGAACAUGGACUAACACAGGUGCAGCCCUUUUCAGAGGCUGAAUUUUGGAGGAGGCAACCCACAAAGAUGUGUCCUUCGAUGGAGCCCAGUAGCGAGGCUGAACAGGUUAAACAAGGCAGCCCACACGUCCGUCUCCACAGUCAUGUCUUCCAGUUCUUUCUGGGGAAUCAUGAGGCAUUCCCAGGCCAGAUGGACACGUAAUCCCUACAGGAUUUCCUCCAAGUUGGAUGUAGGGAGGUGUCCAGGAGGCUUCCUGAUCAGGUGCCAGAACCACCUCAAGUGUCUCCUUUCAACAGGAAGAGGAUGAAAAAGUCUCCAUGAACAGUAAAAUCAGCGGUACACUGUGUUGUUCAUCCUAACCAAGAGGGUAAUGAACGCCGCAGCUUCUAAGGGCUGCUGUUGGACUCACAUCCACACCUGAAAUCAGCUGAAUUUUUCCUGCAUGUCUUUUAACCGUGGGAGGAAAACUGAGCAGUUGGAUAAAAGUGCAAGACACUGGGAGAACAUGUAAACUCCAAACAGGUCCCAUGGCGUUCCUUCUAUGAGCAACAAGGCGACUGUGCUGCCCCCACAGUGAACAUGACAAUGAUUUGCUGUGUGUCCAAAGACCCACUGAAGAAAUUCUCAAUCCCACGACUCUAAUUAAACACACAGCCGGCCCACACAGGUGUUUUCACCUGAACGGCCUCUUUCUCAGACAUGUGUGGGCUAUGUACAGUGCUUCACUGAGAUCCUCCUCAUUCUCCUGCUUAUUUUGUUGUAACUUUUAUGACAGUUUACACCUUUAUCAUUUUUAUUUCUGCAUGUCCACUUUGGCCAUGCCACAAAAUUUUCAUUAUAGCUCCACCCAGCAACAACUUGAGCAGAGGUCUAAUCAGCCAGAGGAACUAAAAACACCUGUGUCGGUGUGCAGGGCCUUUAUUAGAAAAUCAUGCCAAAGCUAUAUCAGUCUAUUUGGACCUUUUGUAGUGGACUUUAUUCAGGUUUCAGCCAGAAGGCAGUCUCUCCCCUCUAAUUAAUAAAAACACUGCUCCUGGGCUUUUCCUAACUUCAUGAGAUGUGAGCAUUUUACUUUUUUCACCUUUCUGCAUGAGCUUCCUGUGCGUUUUAAGAUUUUAUUCCUCAAGGCCCAAAUUUUGAUCCACACCAUCACAAACCAAAGCAUAAUAUUGAAACCAUGGUCCUGAACUCUUAACUUAGAAUAGAAUAGAAUAGAUCUUUAUUGUCACUGUUCCAAAACAAUGAAACCCCAUUUAGCAGUACAGAUAAAUAUAAAAUGUAAAUAUAUGUCAAAAUCUCAUGAAGUCCAGACUUUACUAACUCAGUGAUCUGAUUUAACGAGUUACCUAUAUAUAUACACCACU